UAUACUGUAUAAUCCCUGCGGGGGGAAGAUUUAUCGCUACUAGAUGAGCCUACGUCAGAUUAGCUAGUUGGUGGGGUAAUGGCCCACCAAGGCUGUGAUCUGUAGCUGGUCUGAGAGGAUGAUCAGCCACACUGGAACUGAGACACGGUCCAGACUCCUACGGGAGGCAGCAGUGGGGAAUAUUGGACAAUGGGCGCAAGCCUGAUCCAGCUAUGCCGCGUGAGUGAGGAAGGCCUUAGGGUUGUAAAACUCUUUCAGUAGGGAAGAUAAUGACGGUACCUACAGAAGAAGUCCCGGCAAACUCCGUGCCAGCAGCCGCGGUAAUACGGAGGGGGCAAGCGUUGUUCGGAAUUAUUGGGCGUAAAGGGCAUGUAGGCGGUUUGGUAAGUUAAAGGUGAAAUACCAGGGCUUAACCCUGGGGCUGCUUUUAAUACUGCAGGACUAGAGUCCGGAAGAGGAUAGCGGAAUUCCUAG
rnacentral:rRNA from 1 species